CGACCCCAGGUCAGGCGGGGCUACCCGCUAAGUUUAAGCAUAUCAAUAAGUGGAGGAGAAGAAACUUACGAGGAUUCCCCUAGUAACGGCGAGCAAAUCGGGAAGAGCCCAGCUUGAGAAUCGAACGGCCUCGUCGUCUGAAUUGUAGUCUGUAGAAGCAUCCUCAGCAGUGGACGGGGCCCAAGUCCCUUGGACGGGGGCAUCAGAGAGGGUGAGAGCCCCGUCGUGCCUAGACCGUAGCACACCACGAGGCACUAUUGGCAAGUCGGUUGUUUGGGAAUGCAGCCCCAAUCGGGCGGUAAAUUUUGUCCAAGGAUAAAUAUGGGCGAGAGACCGAUAACGAACAAGUACCGCAAGGGAAAGAUGAAAAGGACUUUAAAAAGAGAGUCAAAGAGUGCUUGAAAUUAUCGGGAGGGAAGUGGAUGGGGGCCAGAAACACGCCUCGGUCGGAUACGGAAUGGUGUACCACUGGUUCGUCGCUCGACUAGAGGCGUGGACCGAUGUGGAUUGUGGCGACGCCCUAAGCCUGGGUUGUUACGCUAUGCCCGAGGAGACGUCAUCGCCAUGAUCGUGGUACGAAGCAUGCACCUUUAUGGCAUGCUACUAGGCAACUGCAUGCUCCUGGCAUUGACCUGUCGGGCUCCCCAUUUGACCAGUCUUGAAAAAUGGACCAAGGAGUCUGACAUGAGUGCGAGUCAACGGGCGAGUAAACCCGUAAGGCGCAAGGAAGUUGACUGGUGGGAUCCCCCUGUGGGUUGCACCACCGAUUGACCUUGAUCUUCUGAGGAGGGUUCGAGUGAGAGCAUACCUGUCGGGACCCGAAAGAUGGUGAACUAUGCCUGAGCUGGGCAAAGCCAAAGGAAACUUUGGUGGAGGCUCACAGCGAUACUAACGUGUAAAUCGUUCGUCUGACUUGGGUAUAGGGGCGAAAGACUAAUCAAACCGUCUAGUAGCUGGUUCCCUCUGAAGUUUCUGCCAAUGAUUAGAGGCAUCAGGAGCACAACGCCCUUGACCUAUUCUCAAACUUUAAAUAGGUAGGACGGUGCGGCUGCUUCGUUGAGCCGUGCCACAGAAUUGAGAGCUCAAAGUGGGCCAUUUUUGGUAAGCAGAACUGGUAAUGUGGGAUGAAUCGAAAGUCGGGCUAAGAAGUAUGUAACAACUCACCUUCCGAAUCAACUAGCCCCAAAAAUGGAUGGCGCUGAAGCACGUUACCUAUACCCGGUCGUCGGGGCAACUGCCAGGCCCCAAAGAGUAAGAGGGCGCGGCGGUCACUGUAAAACCUGGGGUGCGAGCCCGGGCGGAGCGGCCGUCAGUGCAGAUCUUGGUGGUAGUAGCAAAUAUUCAAAUGAGAACUUUGAAGGCCGAAGAGGGGAAAGGUUCCAUGUGAACGACACUUGCACAUGGGUUAGUCGAUCCUAAGGGAUGAGGGAAGCCCGUCUGAGAGCGCGUAUACACGUGUGCUCCUAAAGGGAAUCGGGUUAAAAUUCUUGAAUCGGGACGUGGCGGCUGACUACAACGUUAGGAAGUCCAGAGACAUCGGUGCGGGCCUCGGGAAGAGUUAUCUUUUCUGUUUAACAGCCUGCCCACCCUAAAAAUAGUUCAGUCGGAGGUAGGGUCCAGCGGUUAGAAGGGCACCGCCCAUCGCGUAGUGUCUGGUGCACCCCCGGGGCCCUUAAAAAUCCAGAGGAUCAAGUGCCAACCACGCCCGGUCGUACUCAUAACCGCAUCAGGUUUCCAAGGUGAACAGCCUCUGGUUGAUGGAACAAUGUUGGCAAGGGUAGUCGGCAAAAUGGAUCCGUAACCUCGGGAAAAGGAUUGGCUCUGAGGGCUGGGCACAGGGGUCCCAGUCCUGAGCUCGUCGGCUGUCGAUGGACUGCUCGAGCUGCUUCCACGGGGAGACCUAGUUACUGCGUGUCGAAUGGGGGACGGAUUGGGAAAGGCCCCCUCGGGGGCCUUCCCCGGGCGUCGAACAGUCGACUCAGAAUUGGUACGGACGAGGGGAAUCCAACUGUUUAAUUAAAACAAAGCAUUGCGAUGGUCCCUACGGAUGCUCAAGCAAUGUGAUUUUUACCCAGUGCUCUGAAUGUCAAAGUGAAGAAAUUCAACCAAGCGCAGGUAAACGACGGGAGUAACUAUGACUCUCUUAAGGUAGCCAAAUGCCUCGUCAUCUAAUUAGUGACGUGCAUGAAUGGAUUAACGUGAUUCCCACUGUCCCUGUCUACUAUCCAGCGAAACCACAACCAUGGGAACGGGCUUGGCAGAAUCAGUGGGGAAAGGAGACCCUAUUGAGCUUGACUCUAGUUCAACUUUGUGGAAUGACUUGAGAGGUGUAGGAUAAGUGGGAGCCUUCGGGAAAAAGUGAAACACCACUACUUUUAACAUUAUUUUACUUACUCCGUGAGUCGGAGGUGGGGCAACGCCCCUCCUUUUGGACCUAAGGCCUGCCUCGGUAGGACAAUUCGGGCAGAGGACAUUGUCAGGUGGGGAGUUUGGCUGGGGUGGCACUUCUAUUCAAAGAUAAUGCAGGUGUCCUAAGAUGAGCUCAACGAGAAUAGAAAUCUCGUGUGGAACAAAAGGGUAAAAGUUCGUUUGAUUCUGAUUUCCCGUAUGAAUACGAACCGUGAAAGCAUGGCCUAACGAUAUUUUAGACCUUCAGAAUUUGACGCUAGAGGUGUUAGAAAAGUUACCCCAGGGAUAACUGGCAUGUGGCAGGCAAGCGUUCAUAGCGACGUUGCUUUUUGAUCCUUCGAUUUUGGCUCUUCGUAUCAUUGCAAAGCAGAAUUCGCCAAGUGUUGGAUUGUUCAGCCACCAAUAGGGAACGUGAGCUGGGUUUAGACCGUCAUGAGACAGGUUAGUUUUUCCCUACUGAUGAUAGUGUCACGAUAGUAAUUAAACCUAGCAUGAGAGGAACUGUUGAUUCACACAAUUGGUCAUCGUGUUUGGCUGAAAAGCCAGUGGCGCGAAGCUACCGUGUGUCGGAUUAUGACUGAAUGCCUCUAAGUCAGAAUCCAGGCUAAAGAAGUGACGCAUGCGCCCGUCGCCCAUUUGUCGACCUGCAGUAGGGGCCUCCCGGCUCCCAGAGGCACGUGUCAUUGGCCAAGCCCCCGUGACGGACGUGUUGCGUGGGGCCGCCUUGAAGCUUAAUUCUUGUAGGGCAACGGGUAGAAUCUUUUACAGACGACUUAAAUACACGACGGGGUAUUUCAAGUGGCAGAGUGGCCUUGCUGCCACGAUCCACUGAGAUUUAGUCCCGUGUCGCAUCGAUUCGU